GAUGAACGCUGGCGGCGUGCCUAAUACAUGCAAGUCGAGCGAACGGACGAGAAGCUUGCUUUUCUGAUGUUAGCGGCGGACGGGUGAGUAACACGUGGAUAACCUACCUAUAAGACUGGGAUAACUUCGGGAAACCGGAGCUAAUACCGGAUAAUAUUUUGAACCGCAUGGUUCAAAAGUGAAAGACGGUCUUGCUGUCACUUAUAGAUGGAUCCGCGCUGCAUUAGCUAGUUGGUAAGGUAACGGCUUACCAAGGCAACGAUGCAUAGCCGACCUGAGAGGGUGAUAGGCCACACUGGAGCUGAGACGCGGUCCAGGCGCCUACGGGAGGCAGCAGUAGGGAAUCGUCCGCAAUGGGCGGAAGCCUUGCGGAGCAACGCCGCGUGAGUGAUGAAGGUCUUCGGAUCGUAAAACUCUGUUAUUAGGGAAGAACAUAUGUGUAAGUAACUGUGAACAUCUUGACGGUAACUGAUCAGAAAGCCACGGCUAACUACGUG
rnacentral:rRNA from 1 species